rnacentral:rRNA from 1 species
CCUACGGGAGGCAGCAGUGGGGAAUAUUGGGCAAUGGGCGCAAGCCUGACCCAGCAACGCCGCGUGAAGGAAGAAGGCUUUCGGGUUGUAAACUUCUUUUGUCAGGGCAGAGUAGAAGACGGUACCUGACGCAUAAGCCACGGCUAACUACGUGCAAGCAGCCGCGGUAAUACGUAGGUGGCAAGCGUUGUCCGGAUUUACUGGGUGUAAAGGGCGUGUAGCCGGGUUGACAAGUCAGAUGUGAAAUCCUGCGGCUUAGCCGUGGAACUGCAUUUGAAACUGUUGGGCUUGAGUACUGGUAGGGAUGCGGGAAUUCAUGGUGUAGCGGGGACGUGCUUAGAGAUGAUGAGGAGCUCCGAUCGCGAAGGCGAGUGUCGGGGGUGCAACUGACGUGGAGGCGCGAAGGUGAGGGGAUCAAACAGGAUUAGAUACCCGAGUAGUC